rnacentral:rRNA from 1 species
UACGAAGGGGCUAGCGCUGUUCGGAAUCACUGGGCGUAAAGGGCGCGUAGGCGGCUUUGUAAGUCAGGGGUGAAAUCCUGGAGCUCAACUCCAGAACUGCCUUUGAUACUGAAGAUCUUGAGUUCGGGAGAGGUGAGUGGAACUGCGAGUGUAGAGGUGAAAUUCGUAGAUAUUCGCAAGAACACCAGUGGCGAAGGCGGCUCACUGGCCCGAUACCGACGCUGACGGCACGAA